rnacentral:tmRNA from 1 species
GGGGUCGACUGGAUUUGACAGCGAGUCUAAUUGGAAUGUAAGCAUGUCGAGCGCUGAGAUACAGCUCGUUAAUAUCAUAUUUCACACUUUUUAAAUGGCGAGAAUAACUACGCUCUAGCUGCUUAAUCGACUGAAUUAUAGUAAGUCUUAGCCUAGUCCCGACCAGGUCGGGAAGCAAGAUGUCUCCUGAUAGCCCUUGUUGACGGCGAUCUUUCCGGAGGCACCAUAAAAGUCAACAUAGGAAUUGCGUAGCUUCGUCGUAAUUUCAAACUCUAAGAAGCUAAGUGAGUAAUGGGCGGUUUCCGGUCAGUUACUCAUCGAAAAUCAAACGGAAACUAAGCAUGUAGAAAGCAUUUUAAUUGCUUGUUUGGACGGGAGUUCGAAUCUCCCCGACUCCACCU